rnacentral:rRNA from 1 species
UACGUAGGUCCCGAGCGUUGUCCGGAUUUAUUGGGCGUAAAGCGAGCGCAGGUGGUUCAUUAAGUCUGGUGUAAAAGGCAGUGGCUCAACCAUUGUAUGCAUUGGAAACUGGUAGACUUGAGUGCAGGAGAAGAGAGUGGAAUUCCAUGUGUAGCGGUGAAAUGCGUAGAUAUAUGGAGGAACACCGGUGGCGAAAGCGGCUCUCUGGCCUGUAACUGACACUGAGGCUCGAAAGCGUGGGGAGCAAACAGG